GAUGAACGCUGGCGGCGUGCCUAAUACAUGCAAGUCGAGCGAACAGACGAGGAGCUUGCUUCUCUGACGUUAGCGGCGGACGGGUGAGUAACACGUGGAUAACCUACCUAUAAGACUGGGAUAACUUCGGGAAACCGGAGCUAAUACCGUAUAAUAUUUUGAACCGCAUGGUUCAAAAGUGAAAGACGGUCUUGCUGUCACUUAUAGAUGGAUCCGCGCCGCAUUAGCUAGUUGGUAAGGUAACGGCUUACCAAGGCAACGAUGCGUAGCCGACCUGAGAGGGUGAUCGGCCACACUGGAACUGAGACACGGUCCAGACUCCUACGGGAGGCAGCAGUAGGGAAUCUUCCGCAAUGGGCGAAAGCCUGACGGAGCAACGCCGCGUGAGUGAAGAAGGUCUUCGGAUCGUAAAACUCUGUUAUUAGGGAAGAACAAAUGUGUAAGUAACUAUGCACGUCUUGACGGUACCUAAUCAGAAAGCCACGGCUAACUACGUG
rnacentral:rRNA from 1 species